rnacentral:rRNA from 1 species
GGGCUAGCGUUGAUCGGAAUUACUGGGCGUAAAGCGCACGUAGGCGGUCUUUUAAGUCGGGGGUGAAAUCCUGGAGCUCAACUCCAGAACUGCCUUCGAUACUGGAAGACUUGAGUCCGGGAGAGGUGAGUGGAACUGCGAGUGUAGAGGUGAAAUUCGUAGAUAUUCGCAAGAACACCAGUGGCGAAGGCGGCUCACUGGCCCGGUACUGACGCUGAGGUGCGAAAGCGUGGGGAGCAAACAGG